rnacentral:rRNA from 1 species
UUUGAAAUCUGGCCCCCCCCGCGGGGCCCGAGUUGUAAUUUGCAGAGGAUGCUUCUGGCGCGGCGCCGUCCGAGUUCCCUGGAACGGGACGCCACAGAGGGUGAGAGCCCCGUCCGGUCGGACGCCAGGCCUGUGUGAAGCUCCUUCGACGAGUCGAGUAGUUUGGGAAUGCUGCUCAAAACGGGAGGUAUAUGUCUUCUAAAGCUAAAUACCGGCCAGAGACCGAUAGCGCACAAGUAGAGUGAUCGAAAGAUGAAAAGCACUUUGGAAAGAGGGUUAAACAGUACGUGAAAUUGUUGAAAGGGAAGCGCCCGUGACCAGACUCGGGCCCGGCGGAUCACCCGGCGUUCUCGCCGGGGCACUCCGCCGGGCGCGGGCCAGCAUCGGCUCGGCGCGGGGGACAAAGGCCCUGGGAACGUGGCUCCCCCGGGAGUGUUAUAGCCCAGGGCGCAACGCCCCGCGCGGGGCCGAGGUACGCGCACCGCAAGGAUGCUGGCGUAAUGGUCACCGGCGACCCGUCUUGAAACACGGACCAAGGAGUCGUCUUCGUAUGCGAGUGUUCGGGUGUCAAACCCCUACGCGGAAUGAAAGUGAACGCAGGUGAGAGCUCCGGCGCAUCACCGACCGAUCCUGAUGUCCUCGGAUGGAUUUGAGUAGGAGCAUACGGGGCCGGACCCGAAAGAAGGUGAACUAUGCCUGUGUAGGGUGAAGCCAGAGGAAACUCUGGUGGAGGCUCGCAGCGGUUCUGACGUGCGAAUCGAUCGUCAAACAUGGGCAUGGGGGCGAAAGACUAAUCGAACCUUCUAGUAGCUGGUUUC